AUAAAUCUGGGAAUAUUACAAAAUCCCGCGAUAGGACAGAUUAUCUCGCGAGAUAGUGGUGACGUCACGCGUUCUUCCGGAAGUUCACAUUCAAACACGAGGAGCGAUUACGAGGGAGUUUUGUCUAUAUAUCAUUCAAAAUCUACUGUUGGGAAAAGCAGAACCUCAUCCAAAUAAAAAUAAACAAGCUGUUAAAGGCACUGUGUCCUACACAGACCCUCCAAAAUAUAACCACCCAAAACCCAAGUCAGUUGAAGGUCAACACAAACCAAAUAAAGAUGUGCAUUCUACAAACAAUAAAAAAAGAUCAAGUUUUGUGUCCACCACACUUAGAUGAGGCGUGCCCGACCCCUGACUUUGUCUACCCUACAUUAAGUUGCACACUUCAUGACAGUAAACAUCGGUAUCACAAUGGUGUGAUUGAUCUAUACCCUAGAAUAAGCUGUGACACUAUGAGACGUGAGGUAACACAACGAAAAAAUUACCGGAUGGAGACUACCUGAUUCUUCACCUAUGGCCUCAGCUUCAAAUGCAACAUGUCCAGCAACUGUCUGAGUUGGUGGAUAUUCUGUCAGAGACUGCGUGAACAACGUUAUGAACAGAAUGAUGUUAAAUUGUCUUAUGGCAAAGUUCAAUAUGAGGGGUGGUGGACAUCUGGAAAAGAAGUCUUUUAAAGGCACACCUUUGUAUUAUGUUAUUCAAGGUAAUUUGGGGAAUGUUGAUCUAAAAAAACUUGUUCUUGUAUAUUGAUUGUAAUUUUAUUGUUAUGCUUGAUCUAUUCAGGGGACAUCACAGCUCACCUGUCUUUAUCAGAAAUAUCCUGUUCAUUUUUUGACACACCUAGUUAAGGGUCUUUCUCAAGGGCACCACAGUGGUUUUGUAGAGGGAGGGGACAAAUGCUGUAUCCCCCACAACUGAUCUAACACUUAUUUAAAGCAGAGCAUAUUUUGUACAAUAAUAUAUAUAAUAUUAAUAUAUCAUUUUAGCUGUAGACCAUAAAGAUUUUGAAAGUAAGUGCAUGUCAUUUACCUCAAAAUUUUAAUUGUAUUUAUUUUAAAAAGAAACAUAUUCUUCUC